rnacentral:rRNA from 1 species
AGUGAACGCUGGCGGUAGGCCUAACACAUGCAAGUCGAACGGCAGCACAGUAAGAGCUUGCUCUUACGGUUGGCGAGUGGCGGACGGGUGAGGAAUACAUCGGAAUCUACUUUUUCGUGGGGGAUAACGUAGGGAAACUUACGCUAAUACCGCAUACGACCUACGGGUGAAAGCAGGGGAUCUUCGGACCUUGCGCGAUUGAAUGAGCCGAUGUCGGAUUAGCUAGUUGGCGGGGUAAAGGCCCACCAAGGCGACGAUCCGUAGCUGGUCUGAGAGGAUGAUCAGCCACACUGGAACUGAGACACGGUCCAGACUCCUACGGGAGGCAGCAGUGGGGAAUAUUGGACAAUGGGCGAAAGCCUGAUCCAGCCAUACCGCGUGGGUGAAGAAGGCCUUCGGGUUGUAAAGCCCUUUUGUUGGGAAAGAAAAGAAGCAGGUUAAUACCCCGCUGUUCUGACGGUACCCAAAGAAUAAGCACCGGCUAACUUCGUG